rnacentral:rRNA from 1 species
AGUGAACGCUGGCGGUAGGCCUAACACAUGCAAGUCGAACGGCAGCACAGGAGAGCUUGCUCUCUGGGUGGCGAGUGGCGGACGGGUGAGGAAUACAUCGGAAUCUACUCUGUCGUGGGGGAUAACGUAGGGAAACUUACGCUAAUACCGCAUACGACCUACGGGUGAAAGCAGGGGAUCCUCGGACCUUGCGCGAUUGAAGGAGCCGAUGUCGGAUUAGCUAGUUGGCGGGGCAAAGGCCCACCAGGGAGACGAUCCGUAGCUGGUCUGAGAGGAUCGUCAGCCACACGGGAACUGGGACACGGUCCAGGCUCCUACGGGAGGCAGCAGUGGGGAAUAUUGGACAAUGGGCGCAAGCCUGAUCCAGCCAUACCGCGUGGGUGAAGAAGGCCUUCGGGUUGUAAAGCCCUUUUGUUGGGAAAGAAAUCCAGCUGGCUAAUACCCGGUUGGGAUGACGGUACCCAAAGAAUAAGCACCGGCUAACUUCGUGCCAGCCGCCGCAGUAA